rnacentral:rRNA from 1 species
CUUGGUCAUUUAGAGGAAGUAAAAGUCGUAACAAGGUCUCCGUAGGUGAACCUGCGGAGGGAUCAUUACAGAGUUCGUGCCCUCACGGGUAGAUCUCCCACCCUGUGUUAUUAUACCUUUGUUGCUUUGGCGGGCCGCCCUCGGCUACCGGCCCCGGCUGGUACGCGCCCGCCAGAGGACCCCAAACUCUGAAUGUUAGUGUCGUCUGAGUACUAUACAAUAGUUAAAACUUUCAACAACGGAUCUCUUGGUUCUGGCAUCGAUGAAGAACGCAGCGAAAUGCGAUAAGUAAUGUGAAUUGCAGAAUUCAGUGAAUCAUCGAAUCUUUGAACGCACAUUGCGCCCCUUGGUAUUCCGAGGGGCAUGCCUGUUCGAGCGUCAUUUCAACCCUCAAGCACAGCUUGGUCUUGGGCUUCGCCGCUAACCCGGCGGGUCUUAAAAUCAGUGGCGGUGCCGUCGGGCCCUGAGCGCAGUAAUCUCUCUCGCUAUAGGGUCCCGGCGGAUGCUGGCCAGUAACCCCCAAUUUUCUAUGGUUGACCUCGGAUCAGGUAGGGAUACCCGCUGAACUUAAGCAUAUCAAUAAGCGGAGGAAAAGAAACCAACAGGGAUUGCCUCAGUAACGGCGAGUGAAGCGGCAACAGCUCAAAUUUGAAAUCUGGCUCCUCCGGGGUCCGAGUUGUAAUUUGUAGAAGAUGCUUCGGGUGUGGCUCCGGUCUAAGUUCCUUGGAACAGGACGUCAUAGAGGGUGAGAAUCCCGUAUGUGACUGGCAGCCUUCGCCCAUGUGAAGCUCUUUCGACGAGUCGAGUUGUUUGGGAAUGCAGCUCAAAAUGGGUGGUAAAUUUCAUCUAAAGCUAAAUAUUGGCCAGAGACCGAUAGCGCACAAGUAGAGUGAUCGAAAGAUGAAAAGCACUUUGGAAAGAGAGUUAAACAGUACGUGAAAUUGUUGAAAGGGAAGCGCUUGCAACCAGACUUGCGCGCGGCCGAUCAUCCGGGGUUCUCCCCGGUGCACUCGACCGCGCUCAGGCCAGCAUCGGUUUGGGCGGCUGGAUAAAGGCCCUGGGAAUGUGGCUCCCUUCGGGGAGUGUUAUAGCCCUGGGUGCAAUGCAGCCUGCCUGGACCGAGGACCGCGCUUCGGCUAGGAUGCUGGCGUAAUGGUUGUAAGCGACCCGUCUUGAAACACGGACC